AACGCAUAUUGCACUCUCUGGUAUUCCAGAGAGUAUGCCUGUUUCAGUAUCAAUAAUCAUAUUCAAACUUACCUUUUUUGGGAGGUUUGGAGGUGAGCUUUGCCGAUUUUUUUUUUCGGCUGGCUUAAAAUUAAGUCAUGACCUUGGAAACAUGGGAUCUUAAUAAAGCGUAAUAGUUGACCUCUUUUGAGGACAUCUUCGCUUACAAAGGCCCUUCUUGGUGUUGAUUGCAGGAGAAAUACCGGAACAUGAUUUGUUUACGAACUUGAUCUGAAAUCAGGUAGGACUACCCGCUGAACUUAA
rnacentral:misc_RNA from 1 species